rnacentral:rRNA from 1 species
GACGAACGCUGGCGGCGUGCUUAACACAUGCAAGUCGAACGGGUCUGCCCUGUUUUUUGCGGGGUGGGUCAGUGGCGAACGGGUGAGUAACACGUGAGUAACCUGCCCCUCACUUCUGGAUAACCGCUUGAAAGGGUGGCUAAUACGGGGUGUUCUGGCUGUGCCGCAUGGUGUGGCUGGGAAAGAUUCACUUUUGUGGUGUUUUGGUGGGGGAUGGGCUCGCGGCCUAUCAGCUUGUUGGUGGGGUGAUGGCCUGCCAAGGCUUUGACGGGUAGCCGGCCUGAGAGGGUGGGCGGUCACACUGGGACUGAGAUACGGCCCAGACUCCUGCGGGAGGCAGCAGUGGGGGGUAUUGCACAAUGGGCGGAAGCCUGAUGCAGCGACGUCGCGUGAGGGAUGGAGGCCUUCGGGUUGUGAACCUCUUUCGCCGGUGAAGAAGAUCCUGCUCUUUGUGGUGGGGUUGACGGUAGCCGGGUUAUGAAGCGCCGGCUAACUACGUG